CAGUCGCCGCGGUAAUACGAAGGGGGCUAGCGUUGUUCGGAAUCACUGGGCGUAAAGCGCACGUAGGCGGAUGAUUAAGUCAGGGGUGAAAUCCCGAGGCUCAACCUCGGAACUGCCUUUGAUACUGGUUAUCUUGAGUCCGGGAGAGGUGAGUGGAACUGCGAGUGUAGAGGUGAAAUUCGUAGAUAUUCGCAAGAACACCAGUGGCGAAGGCGGCUCACUGGCCCGGAACUGACGCUGAGGUGCGAAAGCGUGGGGAGCAAACAGGAUUAGAUACCCGAGUAGUCCCUGUCUCUUAUAA
rnacentral:rRNA from 1 species